rnacentral:rRNA from 1 species
ACUCCUACGGGAGGCAGCAGUGAGGAAUAUUGGUCAAUGGACGCAAGUCUGAACCAGCCAUGCCGCGUGCAGGAUGACGGCUCUAUGAGUUGUAAACUGCUUUUGUACGAGGGUAAACGCAGAUACGUGUAUCUGUCUGAAAGUAUCGUACGAAUAAGGAUCGGCUAACUCCGUGCCAGCAGCCGCGGUAAUACGGAGGAUUCAAGCGUUAUCCGGAUUUAUUGGGUUUAAAGGGUGCGUAGGCGGUUUGAUAAGUUAGAGGUGAAAUUUCGGGGCUCAACCCUGAACGUGCCUCUAAUACUGUUGAGCUAGAGAGUAGUUGCGGUAGGCGGAAUGUAUGGUGUAGCGGUGAAAUGCUUAGAGAUCAUACAGAACACCGAUUGCGAAGGCAGCUUACCAAACUAUAUCUGACGUUGAGGCACGAAAGCGUGGGGAGCAAACAGGAUUAGAUACCCUGGUAGUCCACGCAGUAAACGAUGAUAACUCGCUGUCGGCGAUACACGGUCGGCGGCUAAGCGAAAGCGAUAAGUUAUCCACCUGGGGAGUACGUUCGCAAGAAUGAAACUCAAAGGAAUUGACGGGGGCCCGCACAAGCGGAGGAACAUGUGGUUUAAUUCGAUGAUACGCGAGGAACCUUACCCGGGCUUGAAAGUUACUGACGAUUCUGGAAACAGGAUUUCCCUUCGGGGCAGGAAACUAGGUGCUGCAUGGUUGUCGUCAGCUCGUGCCGUGAGGUGUCGGGUUAAGUCCCAUAACGAGCGCAACCCCUACCGUUAGUUGCCAUCAGGUCAAGCUGGGCACUCUGGCGGGACUGCCGGUGUAAGCCGAGAGGAAGGUGGGGAUGACGUCAAAUCAGCACGGCCCUUACGUCCGGGGCUACACACGUGUUACAAUGGUAGGUACAGAGGGCAGCUACCCAGUGAUGGGAUGCGAAUCUCGAAAGCCUAUCUCAGUUCGGAUUGGAGGCUGAAACCCGCCUCCAUGAAGUUGGAUUCGCUAGUAAUCGCGCAUCAGCCAUGGCGCGGUGAAUACGUUCCCGGGCCUUGUACACACCGCCCGUCAAGCCAUGGAAGCUGGGGGUGCCUGAAGUUCGUGACCGCAAGGAGCGACCUAGGGCAAAACCGGUGACUGGGGCUAAGUCGUAACAAGGUAGCCGUACCGGAAGGUGCGGCUG